CAGCAGCCGCGGGAAUACGAAGGGGGCUAGCGUUGUUCGGAAUUACUGGGCGUAAAGCGCACGUAGGCGGAUAUUUAAGUCAGGGGUGAAAUCCCAGAGCUCAACUCUGGAACUGCCUUUGAUACUGGGUAUCUUGAGUAUGGAAGAGGUGAGUGGAAUUCCGAGUGUAGAGGUGAAAUUCGUAGAUAUUCGGAGGAACACCAGUGGCGAAGGCGGCUCACUGGUCCAUUACUGACGCUGAGGUGCGAAAGCGUGGGGAGCAAACAGGAUUAGAUACCCCCGUAGUCCCUGUCUCUUAUAC
rnacentral:rRNA from 1 species